rnacentral:tRNA from 1 species
UGGGUUUUGGCUCAGUGGUAGAGCACUUGCCUAGCAUACACGAGGCACUGGGUUCAAUCCCCAGCACCACAG